UACGGAGGGUGCGAGCGUUGUCCGGAAUUAUUGGGCGUAAAGGGUGCGUAGGCGGUCUGACAAGUCUGAUGUGAAAUCUAUGGGCUCAACCCAUAGUCUGCAUCGGAAACUGUCGGGCUGGAGUAUGGGAGAGGUGAGUGGAAUUUCCGGUGUAGCGGUGAAAUGCGUAGAUAUCGGAAGGAACACCUGUGGCGAAAGCGGCUCACUGGACCAUUACUGACGCUGAUGCACGAAAGCUAGGGGAGCAAACAGG
rnacentral:rRNA from 1 species